rnacentral:tRNA from 1 species
GCAGUGGUGGUUCUGAGGUAGAAUUCUCGCCUUCCAUGUGGGACACCCCAGUUCGAUUCCUGACCAAUGCA